AGUUUGAUUAUGGCUCAGAUUGAACGCUGGCGGGAUGCUUUACACAUGCAAGUCGAACGGCAGCACGGACUUCGGUCUGGUGGCGAGUGGCGAACGGGUAUAAUGUGUAUCGGAACGCCUAGUAGGGGGAUAACUACGCGAAAGCGUAGCUAAUACCGGGCAUACGCCCUUCGGGGAAAGCGGGGACCUUUCGCCUCGCACUAUUAGAGCGGCCGAUAUCGGAUUAGCUAGUUGGUGGGGUAACGGCUCACCAAGGUUAAUGAUCCGUAGCUGGUUGAGAGGUGACUUACCAUCUUAUCAGACUGACAUGCCAGACUUACUGAGGCAGUAAAUUUUAUGGACGUAAAUUGAUCGAUCCGCGCAAAAGUGAUGAAGGCUUCUUGCCGUAAAGACUUUGAUGAAAAGAACUGACGGAUACAAUUUUGAGAAUCGAUUUGCAUCUUCGAUAAUGUUGAUUAUGACUACGUUACGCAAGACACAAGUAAAGAGAUGCUGACUGACGAUUGCAAGGCGCGGUGUCUGAAGAAAAUAUUUGACUACGGUUUUGCAACUUUUAAACUGCAUUAAUCGUUCAGAAUAGAGUAAAACAGAGGAGUAGUGGAAGGCAAGAAAUAAGUAGAUGCGGAGGAACACUGAUGGCGAAGGCAGUCUUCUAGACAAAUCACUGAUCAGCUCGUGCGAACGGUGCGUGAAACAGUAUUAGAGUAACCUUGUGGUUCAUUUACCUGUCGAUGCUUAGAACUAGCUGUUGAAGGCCUUCGUACCAGUGAGUGUGCCAACGCGUGAAGGUUAACUGUCUGGGGAGUAUAACGCAAGAUUAAAACUCAAAGGAAUUGACGGGGACCUGCACAAGCGGUGGAUGAUGUGGAUUAAUUCGAUGCAACGCGAAAAACCUUACCUACCCUUGACAUGUCUUUGGAAUCCCGAAGAGAUUUUGGGAGUGCUCGCAAGAGAACCGGAACACAGGUGUUGCAUGGCUGUCGUCAGCUCGUCGUGAGAUGUUGGGUUAAGUCCCGCAACGAGCGCAACCCUUGUCAUUAGUUGCUACGAAAGGGCACUCUAAUGAGACUGCCGGUGACAAACCGGAGGAAGGUGGGGAUGACGUCAAGUCCUCAUGGCCCUUAUGGGUAGGGCUUCACACGUCAUACAAUGGUCGGGACAGGAGGGUCGCCAACCCGCGAGGGGGAGCCAAUCCCAGAAACCCACUGUAGUCCGGAUCGCAGUCUGCAACUCGACUGCGUGAAGUCGGAAUCGCUAGUAAUCGCGGAUCAGCAUGUCGCGGUGAAUACGUUCCCCGGGUCUUGUACACACCGCCCGUCACACCAUGGGAGUGGGUUUUACCAGAAGUAGUUAGCCUAACCGUAAGGAGUGGGCGAUUACCACGGUAGGAUUCAUGACUGGGGUGAAGUCGUAACAAGGUAA
rnacentral:rRNA from 1 species